UACGAAGGGGGCUAGCGUUGUUCGGAAUCACUGGGCGUAAAGGGCGCGUAGGCGGCUUUAUAAGUCGGGGGUGAAAGCCUGUGGCUCAACCACAGAAUUGCCUUCGAUACUGUAGAGCUUGAGACCGGAAGAGGUUAGUGGAACUGCGGGUGUAGAGGUGAAAUUCGUAGAUAUUCGCAAGAACACCAGUGGCGAAGGCGGCUGACUGGUCCGGUUCUGACGCUGAGGCGCGAAAGCGUGGGGAGCAAACAGG
rnacentral:rRNA from 1 species